GUGUAGGUGUGUGUUCCAGGUAAAUCCGGUUCACUUUAACACUGAGGCGUGACGACGAGGCACUACGGUGCUGAAGCAACAAAUGCCCUGCUUCCAGGAAAAGCCUCUAAGCAUCAGGUAACAUCAAAUCGUACCCCAAACCGACACAGGUGGUCAGGUAGAGAAUACCAAGGCGCUUGAGAGAACUCGGGUGAAGGAACUAGGCAAAAUGGUGCCGUAACUUCGGGAGAAGGCACGCUGACACGUAGGUGAAGUGAUUUACUCAUGGAGCUGAAGUCAGUCGAAGAUACCAGCUGGCUGCAACUGUUUAUUAAAAACACAGCACUGUGCAAACACGAAAGUGGACGUAUACGGUGUGACGCCUGCCCGGUGCCGGAAGGUUAAUUGAUGGGGUCAGCGCAAGCGAAGCUCCUGAUCGAAGCCCCGGUAAACGGCGGCCGUAACUAUAACGGUCCUAAGGUAGCGAAAUUCCUUGUCGGGUAAGUUCCGACCUGCACGAAUGGCGUAAUGAUGGCCAGGCUGUCUCCACCCGAGACUCAGUGAAAUUGAACUCGCUGUGAAGAUGCAGUGUACCCGCGGCAAGACGGAAAGACCCCGUGAACCUUUACUAUAGCUUGACACUGAACAUUGAGCCUUGAUGUGUAGGAUAGGUGGGAGGCUUUGAAGUGUGGACGCCAGUCUGCAUGGAGCCGACCUUGAAAUACCACCCUUUAAUGUUUGAUGUUCUAACGUGGACCCGUUACCCGGGUUGCGGACAGUGUCUGGUGGGUAGUUUGACUGGGGCGGUCUCCUCCUAAAGAGUAACGGAGGAGCACGAAGGUUGGCUAAUCCUGGUCGGACAUCAGGAGGUUAGUGCAAUGGCAUAAGCCAGCUUGACUGCGAGCGUGACGGCGCGAGCAGGUGCGAAAGCAGGUCAUAGUGAUCCGGUGGUUCUGAAUGGAAGGGCCAUCGCUCAACGGAUAAAAGGUACUCCGGGGAUAACAGGCUGAUACCGCCCAAGAGUUCAUAUCGACGGCGGUGUUUGGCACCUCGAUGUCGGCUCAUCACAUCCUGGGGCUGAAGUAGGUCCCAAGGGUAUGGCUGUUCGCCAUUUAAAGUGGUACGCGAGCUGGGUUUAGAACGUCGUGAGACAGUUCGGUCCCUAUCUGCCGUGGGCGCUGGAGAACUGAGGGGGGCUGCUCCUAGUACGAGAGGACCGGAGUGGACGCAUCACUGGUGUUCGGGUUGUCAUGCCAAUGGCACUGCCCGGUAGCUAAAUGCGGAAGAGAUAAGUGCUGAAAGCAUCUAAGCACGAAACUUGCCCCGAGAUGAGUUCUCCCUGAGACUU
rnacentral:rRNA from 1 species